rnacentral:tRNA from 1 species
AGGGGUAAAGUUUAUUAUUUAUUAAAUAUUUAUUUUGCUAAUAAAAGAAACUAAUUUUGGUUACUCUUA